CUCGGUCCCCCACUUAAAGGGCCAGCGCUUUACCGCCGGGCCCUCCGCCGCCCGCCCCCAGCCCCGCGUCCCAAGUUAUCUCCAGGAGGCAGGAGGUCGUCUGCUCCGCUCCCACCUCUUUCUCGGGGCGCAGCGAAGCCGGCGCGGAGCCGCGGAGGAAGUUCACAGCGUGCGGCGCAGAGCGCUAACUGCACGGAGGUUCCGGGCUCGGGAGGCCCGCGGUCGGGAAUUUCCUAAAGGAAGCACCUCGCAGGGGCCCUCGGGGGGUCGGCGCGAGAGCUCUGGCUUGGAGGACCGGGUUCUAGACAGGAGUCAGAGUCCGAUUUCCCGCGGGACAUCCUCCAGAUCGCUUCCCUCAGUGGGCCUCGGUUUCCCGAGCUAUCAGCAGAGCUCGUCGCACCCGGACAGCCACCCUGAAGCCUAGCCACCAUGCUGUGAGGAAGCCCAGGCCACAUGGAGAGAGGACAGGAGGCUCUCCAGGAAGGCUCUCAGUUCCCAGCCAGCCUCACUCAUCAGAUAAGUGAUUAGGCCAUUAACACUGGCCACAGUCCUCAGUGAAGUUGUGAACGGUACCAGCUGAAGGGCAUCACGGCUGCAGUCGUUCAAGAUGGCGACACCCUUCAAGCUGAAGGUGGAGCGUUGUCUUCAAAACACAGAUGGAAGCUGGAGUGACUGCCAACAGCAUGCAUUCCUAAGGUGGUCUGAUGGAGCGUGGGGCCCUAGCGAGGGCGUGGAUCCCCAAGCAGGAGGCAUCUGCUCAUGGAGAAAAUCUGUUAGCUGAGAAAUCCCUGGCUUCCGGUCAGGCCCCGCUGGGGCAGAUGGACUAAGGAGCACAGUGCACUGGCGCCGAAUGCUUCCCACGCGCCCGAGAGCUUUCUGUGGAUUGUUCCUGAAGCCUCAGAGCAACUCUAUGAGGCCAGCUGGGGGCUCUACUCAGUGUUGUCGUCACUCCAGGACCCCAACUGAUAAGAGAAGCUGCCAUCUGGAUUACUGCAGGUUGUCAAAGCAGAGGGAAAGAGAAUUCUAGCAAUUAAAAUGCUUCAGCCUAGAAGUGACACAUGGUAAUUCUGCACAUAACUCAUUGACCAGAAUGAUCACAUGGUUCCUACCCAACCAUAAGGAGGCCAAGGAGUGCAAACCUACUGCGUGCCAAGCAGGUGGCAAGUUAGAAAUAUAUGGGAGAAGACUCCCACAUUGGUUUCCAGAAGCCCAAGAGACACCCAAGUUGAAUUCAACACAAACAGUCGCUGAGCAAUUCCUGUGGACAAACUGCUGUGCUUUGGAUGGUAAAAGACCCUGACUUCAGGCACCUUGCAUUCCAGCAAGGAAAUAACCAUGAAGCUCCUUACAACAAAACACUGGCCUGCACAGGGAGAGACGGAGGAGAACCACAUGUCCAGAGAGUCUGGGAAAGGCAGAGCCGAGAGCCUUUUAAAGAAUAGAAGCAGGAGGGUGGACGAUGGUGGAAGACAGAGGCGUGGACAAAGACUGAGCGUGGAGAUCUUCAGGAAAAGAUGGCUGAGAGCACAAAGAAAGAGAUGAAGUUACAGCUGGAAGAGGAGCUGUCAGAGGUGUAUCUGGGCAUCGCGGAUCUUCUCUGGGAAUCCUACAAGGACGGUGGCUGGUCUGAAACACGGCAUGGCAGUUAAGAGAAGAGGCUUGAAAUGAACCUGUACACAUCUGGAUUCAAAUCCGUGCUCUGUGACUGUAAGCAAGUUGGUUAAGCUUUCUGAAGCUGAAAGCUCCCAUAAAAUGAAGACGGCAGCAUGUAUGUCAAACACUCGUGGGGAAUGGAGGGGACAACCUGUGUAAAGUGUCCGGGAUACAGUAACAUCAUUGGCUUGGGAGCCAAUCCGUUGAGGACAGAAAGCUUGAACCACUGUAUCUCAGUGAGAGAGACAGAUUUGAUGAUGUUCCUCCCUUGCUUCAAACUCUGCCAGGGUUUCCCCUUUGGUCUGAGAUAGCAGUGUCUUUAGCAAGGCUGUCCAAGUCCCGGGCAGGCUGGCUCCUCUUCUUUGCCUCUCCUCUGCCACCCACCAAUCAGACGGUCUUUUUUUUCUUCUCCGGUCUCUUGAGCAAGCCUGGAACACUUCUUUCUCUCUGUCUUGUCCUGGACAGCUCCCUCUUUUCCUGAAACACCCCACACGGCCUGCCCUCACUCCCUCCACUUCAAAAUUUCAGUCUCUGCCUGCUUCUGCCAUGUGGCUUCCUUGGCCAAACCUUCCCCAUCCAAAGGCUGCAUUGGUCCCUUGUUACCUGCUCCUGCUCCCAGGGGUCACGGAAAGUCUCCCGCAUAAGAGACCCUUGCAAACCGCUAGUUCGAAGUUCAUCUUCUCUGCCAAAGCAGCAGCACCCACCGUGCUCCCCAGAUCUCACUCCCUGCCAGGUGAUGAAUGAAUGUGCAAAGACGGCAGGCCGAAGUGACCAGAGUCGCUUGGGAAAAAUGAGGGCGGCACACCUGGGAUCAGAAAGAAUUUGCCUUUCUGGGUGUUUGCUGAGAGAAGAUACAACUCCCUGCCUGGGAACUUGGAGGCAGGUCCCCGGAAGGGCUCGUCCCGGUUCUGUGCAACUCUCCUGUGCCUGGCCAAGCCCACGGGCAGGGGUUUUCUGGGAUUCCAGGGGCUUCUGUCCUUUGGGAGCAAAGUGAAUUUGCAGCAGAGGCAGAAUAAAGUGUAGGAGGUGGUAGGGUCUUCACUCUUCCUCCGGUUGGUCCCCGACAUACCCUGUGCAAGCGAGGAGAUUUUGCUCCCUGCAUCAGCUUCCGGCCCUCCCUCGGGUCCUGCAGGAGAAUAGAAGGAAGUCCAGAGGCUAAGCCGGCCUAGGCGAGGAAGAGCCCCCGAGGCUGAGCCGGCUAAGCUGGGGCAGUCCGGAGAGAUGCCCGAGAAAGAUCUGCGGGAGCGGCUCUGCGCGGGGCAGGGAGACGAGGAAAGAGGUUCUGAUGAAGCUUUGCAGCACAUUAAAAAUGUGAUGUCCUGCAAAUGGUGUGGACCAAGCUGAGGGGAGCAGAGAUUGGAGCACUUUGGGCUAUUCUGUAGCUCACUGGAUUGUUGUUUUCUUUAGCAGUGAGUGGCUGGGCACUGGGGCUUCAUCUAGGACUUCCAUUCAAUGCGGGGCCUUAAGAAUGGGCCCCGGAGUGGAAGUGCAGUCCAUUCUCUCGUCUUCCUGGGCCAGCCAAAGAGCCUGGCUUGCCCCUCCUUUCUACCCUAUUUUGGCCUCGCUCCAAGCUUGAUCGUGGGGGCUUGUCACGUCUGCCUGUGGGAAGGUCUGGUUUUCUCUCUUCUCCACACGGGAAGUGGGGAGAGACUCUUCAGGACCCAAAUGAGAGCCCCGGUGCCUUCACUUUGCCUUGUGACAGCUGCGAAAGGGCUCUUGGCACAGAUGGGCUGGGCAUUUGGCUGACUGCUUUUGAGGCUAGAGAGAGAGCAACGGAGGGCGGUGACUGGGUGUGAAAGGGAAUUCAUGGCUGACAAAGAUCCUGUCUGAACAUCUGUGAUCAAUGAAGUUUACUCACUGCUCCCUAUUACCUGCCUGUAUAGCCUGCUGCCUUCCUGGCGUCUCUGCCUGGACAUUCAGCAGCAUCUCCAACUUAACGCGGCUGAUUCUCCCACCUGGCCCUCAGACUUGCCUUCUCUGCUUCUUUCCACCUCAGUGGAUGACAACCCUGGUGGCUUCAAAUUAGAGCCAGGACCCAAGUGUUCCUUCAUACCUGCUCUCUCCUCUGACCCUGGUCUAAGCCAUUCACCAUCCUGGUCUUAUCAAUCCAGCAGCCGAAGUCGCCUGUUGAGAUGUGCAACCAUGGCAUUCCUCUAUUCAAAAUCUUUCACUUAAGAGUGAAAACCUCAUUUACUAUGGCCUCAUGUUCCCUGUAUGACUUGCCCCACUCCCUUUUGCCUCAAGCCGUUCCACUUCAGCCACACUUGCUUCCUUGAUGUUCACUGAACACACAUGGCAUGCUGCUACCUCAGGGCCUUUGCACAUGCUGGUCCUGCCUGGAGAGCUUUUUCUCUGGAUACCCACGUGGCCCUCACUUUCUUCAUCUUACUAUUACACGUGACAUUCUCACUGAGGCUGCUCUGACCACUCCUUUUAAAAUCGUAUCCUGCCUCCCCAUUCCUGAUCCCCCAUACCCUGCUCUUUCCCUCAUGGAACUUACCUAACAAACUAUGUAAUUUGGUUAUUUAUUGUGCUCAUUGUCUCUUUCUUCCUCUCACUAGAGUGUGCGCUCCAUGAAAAAAGAGAUUGUGCUUGUUCUCUUUACUGAUAUAGUCUCCAUGCCCAGAACAGUGCCUGGCACAGGGCAGACCCUUGGUGGCAGCAUGAAUACCAGCUGUGUGUUUGUGUUUGUGUGUGUCUGUAUGUGUUAAGUGUGUAUGCAUACACACCUGUGAGGUAGCGAGGGGUAAUUACCUAAAAAUAAUCCACAAACUGGGUACUUUCAUUCCUACAAAACAUUGCAUGCAUAAGACUUGCUAAGUAUCAAGUUCAAAGACUACUAUGUGAAUACGACCUUCCAAGAGCUUCAGGAAACUUACAAACAGCUCAUUGAAAGUUGACCAGAGCCUGAACUACCCAUGUAUAUGAGUUCUGUGGGCAUCAAGGUUGGCUGGUUGUCUUCUAGACUUCCAAUUCUACUCUUCUUGUGUAAUAGCUGGACAGUUAAGGGGGACUAGUGCUCCCCUGAAUCUGGUACAAGUAAUCCCUUAAGAGAAAAGCACAAGAGCCAUUUGGAUUCAGAAUGAUGCUCAGAUAUUUUCCAUGGUUGUAGGAAGAGAUGUUCUUUCUCUGCUUACGAUGUGAAAUAAAAUGCUGGCAGCCCUCUUGCUACUAUGAAAGAGGCUAGCUUGAGGACAAAGCAGACAGCAGAGGGCAGAACCGAGAACCAAAGAAGCAGAGCCACGGCCCUAUUGACUUUGUGAACCUCUGGAUCAAACCCUACCUGAUGCUUGCAACAUUUCUGGACUUCACAUAAAUCCAAGACAAUAAAUCCACUAAGCUGGUAUGAACCAGGAUGUCUUUUAUUUGCAAUGAAAGGCAACCUAAUACAGUGCUCCUCACUUUCUUUUAGACCAACCCCUCUGCUUCUCACUGCUCCCAAGUGUGGAUGACAUCUGUGUCCUUCGUGCAGCCAGCAUUAUGAUCACGCAUACACAGACGCAUUUCAGAAUCCUAAGGCAGUGAACUCUUUUUGGUUUACAUACAUGUGAUGUUCCAUUUUUCUGUCAAAAUGUAGAUUAACUAGGAUGCCUCACGUUAAUGUUAAAAUUCUAGUAGCUGGGGGCCUCACAGACCUACCUAUGUUUUUCAAGUUGCAUUUCUGAAGCUUUGCUGAACAUGCUUUUAAAAUGCCUACUUGGGGGCACCUGGGUGGCUCAGUUGUUAAGUGUCUGCCUUCGGCUCAGAUCAUAAUCCCAGGAUCCUAGGAUUGAGCCCCCCCAUCAGGCUCCCUGCUUGGCUUGGCAGGGGGUUCUGCUUCUCCCUCUUCCACUCCCCUGCUUGUGUUCUUUCUCACGCUGUGUCUCUAUCAAAUAAAUAAAAUUUUAAAAUAAAAAAACAAAACGCCUACUUGAAUGCCCGGAGAACUCUUGAGGCCGGUUCUCCAGCCAGCCAGGCUCAGCAUCGGCCUGAGGUCUAAGGGCAGCGCUGUCCAAGGGACAGCGAGCCCGGAAAGGUCACGGGUGAAGAAACUCUCCAACAGGCUGUUCCUUAUUUAUUAGAUGCCAGAUACACGGGACCAGGACAGAAGACUCCUAGGGCAUGUGAUUUACAUGGGGGGGGGGGGGCGGGGGGGUCCCAGGGGAGAACACAGACAAGAGGCAGAAA